GUCCCAUGUGUGUUUGGCUUCUCACUUACCAAGCUCUCAGGGGACCAUGGCAAUCACAACCUAAACAAACAACCACAGGUGGGUAGACAGAGCUGACUGCAACCCACAGCGGAACCCCUCCUUCCAGCUGGUUACUAGGAAAUCUGAAAGAGCUGCCUCUUCCAGCCCAUCCCUGGCACAUUCCCGAUCACCCCUCCACCUGGAUGGAUCUUGCCAGAAGCAGUUGGAGGCCUUGUCGGGAAGCAGCACCUCCACAGUAUAGCUGAGCUUCUUGGCGUGCAUCCGGCUGUAGGUGUUGUCAAAGCGCAGGACAUCUGCAGUGACAGAGAGGAGAUCAGGGAGCACGAACCCCGUGUAUCUGCAGAAAGAGAGAGCCCUGCAUGGCUGCAUCCCUGGAACCCUUGGGAAUGAGCUGUCCAGGAUGGUGAGCGGAGCCUGAGGGCCAGCCUGUGUCCCUCCCUAAGCCUGUUGCUCACUGCCAUCCCAUGGUGGCUUGAGCUACAUAAAGGACUCAUGACAGUUACCAGCCCACAGAAUAGCACACAACCAGGAAGCCUGCAGCCUGGGAACAGGAUCUUGGGCUCCACCUGCAGGGAGGAGCUGCAGCCCACGGACAUGCUAUGCCCAUACUGCGUCCUGGCCUGGUUGCACAGGUAGUAGCUCUAGGGCCUCUCCAUGCACCAUGCAUUCCAUCACACAUUACGGUGCCCUGAAUCCUCAAAGCAGGCCCAUGAGGAAGGCAAUGCCAUCCUCAUUUUACAGAUGAGAAAACUGAGGCUUAGAGAGGUGAUAGGAUCUUUCAGCGGUCACAGAACAAGGCAGGGGAGGUACUGGGAUUCCCUUAUCCCGAUGCCCUAACCCAGGGAGGAGCCCUGCCACCCCAGGAGGAAAGGGCUGGACUACGUAAGUCACUUUUUCAUCUUGCAGAAGGCAUGUCCUUCAAUGCCAAGGUCCAACAUGAACUCGGGUCUGAUGAGUCGUGCAGACUUCUCUGUCUCUACUCUCCUAAGGCUCCCUUUCCACAAAGUGAAACAAGAUCAUGUGUUGACUUAAGCAUAAGCAACACCCUUCUCCUCCAUAGGAAGUCAACCUUGGGCUCCCCUGCUUCUAGCUCUGUUCCCAAUAGACAUGGAAGGGCAGUGGUGUCUCUCGGCAAGCUGCUUCCGGUGAAGCUGACUGAGCUGCAUCUGGCCUGGGAGGCCUGAGAGUGAAGGAUAAACACCUGGAGGAAGCCACCUCUUUGGGAUUCCCGGAGUGGGGUGGUUCAUGCAACUGGGUGGUCCCCUUGCCAAGACCCCUGACUCUAAGUCCGUGGCCUCUUACUUACCUGUCUCUUAGCCCAAUGAGCCUGGUAUAGGGUCUUCUCAGCUGAGCCCAAGGCCCCAGGUUCUGAACACCAGCUCUUCCCCCACAAUGAGUCUGCCCUCAUACCCACAUGUAAGGGCCACUCAUCCCAUCCGUGGCCCUGAAGCCAGCUCCCCUGGAGCUUACAGACAUCCCCACACCCCUCCCGAGAGCUGGAAAGAGAGGGCAAGCAGAGGGUAGAUGGCAAGGAAAAUAAUUCCAGUAAACCCUGGAGCUCUUACAGACGCCAGCCUUGAGGCAGGUGAGGCUCCCAUCCUCGGGCACCAGGUGGGCGUUGUAGCGCUGGCUGGGCAGCACCUCUGUCAUCUCCCGAGCCCUUUGCCGCUCCCCCAUUUUGGUCUUCAGGAAAACUCCAAAGCCGAUGUCCCCGCCAUCCGAUGUGAACUGCCACCUGCAGUGGACAGAGCCCCAUUGGCGACCCCCUGCCUGGGCUCUGGCACCUUCCCAGCUGUGCCCAGGUGUGGGGUGGCUGCCAUCCCUACCUGAGCACACAGCCUGGGAACAGGAUCUCGUUCUCCACCUGCAAGGAGGAGCCUCGACCCACGGACUCCGUGUGCUCGUACUGCAGCCUCACCUGGUUGCACAGGCACAUGGACACAACCAGAGGCCGAGUCACUCACCUCCCAGAAUUACAAUCUUCCUGCGUGUUUCCUCACUCAUGAAUGACUUGACCAAGUUGAAGGCCACGGGGAACAGUUUGGGGGCUGAAACACAUGCAAAUCUCCUGAGAAGCUGGAGCAGAGAGGAUGUGGGGAUACAGAGCCACAGUCAAGAGCAUGUGCUGGGCUGGAGAUGGACAGAUACGGACUCUGCCGCUGUCUGCGGUGUGACCUUCAGCACCCUCUCUAAGUCUCAGUGCAGUUAACUGGAAAAUGAAGGUGAAAUAACGUAUAUAUAACACCUGGCACAGUUCCUGGCUUUCAAUAAAUGGUUGUCUCGGGCCAGG